CUGCUUUUUGACGUAACAGCACGCGGGGAACACUUUCCCGGCUGAAAGAAGCGGCUUGGAGGAGACAGCUGACCCACUUUGGGCGGCCGAGGGAGGCGGAUCACUUGAGGUCAGGAGUUCGAGACCAGCCUCGCCACCAUAGUGAAACCCCGUGUCUACUAAAAAUACAAAAAUUACCUGGGUGUGAAGCGCGGCCUGUGGUCCCAGCUACCCGGAAGACUGAGGUAGGAGAAUCGCUUGAACCCUGGAGGCAGAGGUUGCAGUGAGCCGAGAUCGCGCCACUGCACUCCAGGCUGGGCAACAAAGUGAGUUGUUAAGCUCACGAAAAACAACGCAAAAACUGUUUCUAAUUCUCUUCUCAACCUGUUCUUGGCUUGGGCCCUGUAUUUAAAAACAUUUGCUGAAAAAGUACUAAAAUAAAGUUUUUUUUCACAACUCUU